GAUGAACGCUGGCGGCGUGCCUAAUACAUGCAAGUCGAGCGAACGGACGAGAAGCUUGCUUCUCUGAUGUUAGCGGCGGACGGGUGAGUAACACGUGGAUAACCUACCUAUAAGACUGGGAUAACUUCGGGAAACCGGAGCUAAUACCGGAUAAUAUUUUGAACCGCAUGGUUCAAAAGUGAAAGACGGUCUUGCUGUCACUUAUAGAUGGAUCCGCGCUGCAUUAGCUAGUUGGUAAGGUAACGGCUUACCAAGGCAACGAUGCAUAGCCGACCUGUGAGGGUGAUCGGCCACACUGGAACUGAGACACGGUCCAGACUCCUAGGGGAGGCAGCAGUAGGGAAUCGUCCGCGAUGGGCGAAAGCCUGACGGAGCAACGCCGCGUGAAUGAUGAGGGUCUUCGGAUCGUAAAACUCUGUUAUUAGGGAAGAACAUAUGUGUAAGUAACUGUGCACAUCUUGACGGUACCUAAUCAGAAAGCCACGGCUAACUACGUG
rnacentral:rRNA from 1 species